UUGCAGCAGGAGCUUUGUAGACUUCUGGUCCCUUCAUUUCUCGCUCUGUGGACGGCUGACCACUUCCUUGUGGGUAAUUAUAAAGAAUUGCACUUCAUCGCUCCUCAGCCUUGCUGAAGAGUGCAUGGCAGAACUUAUACUCCAGCAUGGAGCAAGUCAUGAGAUAUGUUGGUCUGUGUCCUCAUGAACAUGGCCUAGGAAUCUGGAUAUGACUUCAGGAGAGUCGAUAAUAGUGAUACUUGGGUCCUGGCAGUGACCUUCAAAGUGAACUUAGAGGACCUCGUCCACAUCCACCUCUGAGCUGCAACAUCUGAAGAAUCGAGAUCUCCUGGAAGUCAAGUCCAAGAUAGUGCCACAAUGGCAGACUAAGAAAAUGAUUCCACCUGUGUCUAUCUUCACGGUCCAGAGAGUUUACCAGAGCUACGGAAGCAUGAGUGGGGGCUACUUAGAAGAGCAAGGGUAAAUAUACACUUUUAGGAGCACACAUUACAUAUAGCUGGACACACCACUGACCCUACCUCAACAUCACUUAGCUGUUUAUAUAUCCUGAGGAGGGGGGGGGGUUCUGCUGCCUCGCCAGCCCCUUACACUCUUCAUGACAGAUCACUAAUGGCCUCAAACUUGAGGGUCUCCUGGGGGUAAUCACAGCUGCUCUGAUUUCCAGAUGGCAGUGUCUGGUCAUGUCAUGUUUCAAGGACCGAGUUCCACAACACUUGGUGAACUCGGUUGGUUCGUGAGAUGGGCACUGUUGAUAGGCACUUUACAUGGGAGGCCCCAUUCUCUCCAUCAAUAAUUCUUGGGUUACCCUCAGCAGCAACAACAAGCAUAGUGAGAGGAAAAAAUGUGCAUCAACAUGGAAGGCACACAAAUAGCACCCAAACUAAAUACUCUAGUUUGCUUUGCAACAUUUU